GAAAUGUGAUAAGUAAUGUGAAUUGCAGAAUUCCGUGAAUCAUCGAAUCUUUGAACGCACAUUGCACCCUCUGGCAUUCCGGGGGGCAUGCCUGUCCGAGCGUCAUUACGCACCCUCAAGCCCGGCUUGUGUGAUGGGCCCCGGCGUCUCGUUCGCGAGACGGGCCCGAAGGCAGCGGCGGCGUCGACCCGAUGAGCCCGAGCGUAUGGGGACUUCUGUCACACGUUCGCGGUGCGGACCGGCGCCUGCUUGACUUUUCUGAUUAUCCAGGUUGACCUCGGAUCAGGUAGGGAUACCCGCUGAACUUAAGC
rnacentral:misc_RNA from 1 species